AUGGGGCGGAGGCUGCCGGUGUUGUGCCGCGGCCGGUCGGCGACGCGGGUCAGGAAGCGAGUGCAGCGCCUGAGCUACUGCUCCCCCUCCCCCUCCGCCGCCUCCAAGCUGCCGCCGUCGGUGACCAGCAAGGUAAGGAGUGACGCUGGGGCAGGAAACGGACGCUGUUACGGUGGCGGCAAUGGCGCGUCGAUGGUUGACGUCGUGGGCGGCAAGAAGGACGGCGGCGGGCGGCGGGUGAUGGUGGUCGCUGACGGGCGGGCGGAGGCGGUGGGCGCGCUCGAGUGGGCGCUGUCGCAGACCGUCCGGAGCAAUGACGCCGUCGUCCUCCUCGCCGUCGUCAAACCGGCCCCGGCAGAUGCGGAUGAUUCAUCCUGCGUGAAGAUGUCAAGGACAAGAUGCUAUGAAAACCUUAAUGCCAUGAGGAGCUUGUGCGAGUCGACCAGGCCAGAGGUGAAGGUGGAGGUGUGCGUGACGGAGGCGGAGGAGCGCGCGCCGGCGGUGGUGGACGCCGCGAGGCGGCACGGCGCGUCGCUGCUCGUGCUCGGCCAGCGCCGGCGGGCGGCCACGGCGCGGUGGAUCCUGGGCCUGUGGCCGGCGGCGGAGCGUCGGUGCGGCAGGCGGUGGCAGAGGGGCCUGGUGGAGUACUGCAUCGAGCACGCGCCGUGCGAGGCGCUGGGCGUGCGCCGCCGGAACUCCGGCGGGUACCUCGUCUCCAGCAGGCGCCACAGGGACUUCUGGCUCCUCGCUUAG
rnacentral:rRNA from 1 species